UACGUAGGUGGCAAGCGUUGUCCGGAAUUAUUGGGCGUAAAGCGCGCGCAGGCGGUCCUUUAAGUCUGAUGUGAAAGCCCACGGCUCAACCGUGGAGGGUCAUUGGAAACUGGGGGACUUGAGUACAGAAGAGGAAAGCGGAAUUCCACGUGUAGCGGUGAAAUGCGUAGAGAUGUGGAGGAACACCAGUGGCGAAGGCGGCUUCCUGGACCAAUACUGACGCUGAGGCGCGAAAGCCAGGGGAGCGAACGGGAUUAGAAACCCUGGUAGU
rnacentral:rRNA from 1 species